UACCAGCACCCCGAGUGGUCGGGACGAUUAUUGGGCCUAAAGCAUCCGUAGCCGGUUCUACAAGUCUUCCGUUAAAUCCACCUGCUUAACAGAUGGCUGCGGAGGAUACUAUGGAGCUAGGAGGCGGGAGAGGCAAGCGGUACUUAGUGGGUAGGGGUAAAAUCCGUUGAUCCAUUGAAGACCACCAGUGGCGAAGGCGGCUUGCCAGAACGCACUCG
rnacentral:rRNA from 1 species